rnacentral:rRNA from 1 species
GACGAACGCUGGCGGCGUGCUUAACACAUGCAAGUCGAACGGAAAGGCCCUGCUUGCAGGGUACUCGAGUGGCGAACGGGUGAGUAACACGUGGGUGAUCUGCCCUGCACUUCGGGAUAAGCCUGGGAAACUGGGUCUAAUACCGGAUAGGAGCCAUUUUUAGUGUGAUGGUUGGAAAGUUUUUUCGGUGUAGGAUGAGCUCGCGGCCUAUCAGCUUGUUGGUGGGGUAAUGGCCUACCAAGGCGGCGGCGGGUAGCCGGCCUGGGGGGGUGGACGGCCACAUUGGGACUUGGAUACGGCCCAGGAUCCUACGGGGGGCAGCAGGGGGGAAUAUUGCACAAUGGGGGCGAGCCUGAUGCAGCGACGCCGCGUGGGGGAUGACGGCCUUCGGGUUGUAAACUCCUUUCGCUAGGGACGGAGCUUUUUGUGACGGUACCUAGAUAAGAAGCACCGGCUAACUACGUG